GGGCAAUUAAAUCAGGGGUAUAGUGACAAAUCUCGGAGUAAGGUCUCUACCCCUAGUGUUGACCCUGAGGACUGGAGUCCAAGAAGAGGGCAUGAUAAUCUUGGAUUUAGCCAAGACACUUCUUCACCAGUGAGAGAAGCUAGAGGACUGAACAGAGAGGACAGUGAAGCCUCUUCUAAAGGUCCUGGAGCUGAUGGAAUGAGAAAUGCCUGGAACAAACUCUUUGGAGGGAGGACCUCAGUUCAAGUAGAUUCAAGGCCACAACAUUCCCAGCAUCCCAAGAGUUUAAAUAACUACUUGGAUAUGACGGGUAAGGACUCCAGAAAUCACAUGACUCCUCCAACAACACAGAGAACAAGUCCAUUAGGUCAAAGUAUUCAAGGUCAUGGGUCAAGCCCGAGUCAGCUCAGCUCAUCACCGCAUUCUCCGAGUAGUGUCUCAUAUACAGGACUAAAUAAACCCUCCACAGAAAACCUGUCCGGUUCCCAACACACAAUAGGACCUUCAUCAAAGUAUCCAGACUAUUCAGGAAGGCCAGUGGCAAGCAAGGAAUCUGAGGAAAAGCGCAAUGAUGUUUUUAGAGAUCCCAGAGGGCUUCCUCCAAAGCCUUUCCCUCGGGCUAACAGUGACAGCACUCUUCAUGAGCCUGAGGCUAGUAUUUUUGAUUAUCGGAAUUCAUUCAGUGAGGCUUCUUCCCGUUCUGUGACUCCUCCCCUUCCGCCAUUAUCAAAUACUGACUCUGAUUCCUCAGAGGGUGGCUUACCUCUUCCUCGUGCCUCAAACUCUGCGACUCUUUCCUCCCAAAAAACUCCUGAUGUUGUGAACUCCACUACAAGGGUUUCUAGCGGGGACAAGAAAAAACGGACUUAUCCUUCUCAACUCCCUAGCAGGAAUGACAAGAAACAUUCAUUCAAGUCAUCUUCUCAUUCGAAAUUUUCGCACUCCCAAAUGAAUGAGAGGAUGCAGGAUUCAGGGGUUUUGAGUGAUGUCAGGGAGAUGGGAACUGACAGUGAUCUUCCAUUUGAUAUUGAGGAUACCAUUUUGACUGUAGAUUCCAUUGAUACAGAAAUGCAGACAAUUCAUGAUGGAAUUCAGAAGAUGCACCUCAGAGGUAAUGAACAUUUUGGUGGAAUGAAAGAGAGACUUGACAAUCUUGAGGGACUAUAUUCGGAGGUUGUUCGUGUACUGGGAACUAAUCCUCCCAGUAUGAGGAGGAGAUGGAGUCUUGCUAGCUCAGACACAAGCUCACUCCAAAGACCAGUCAGGAAGUUCAAAUCACAGUCCGGAAAUCCCAACUCACACAGUAGGAGCCAUCAUCACCACCACCACAAAGACAUCAAAGCCAUAAAUCGCCGUUUCCAGCGAUUGGAAUCCCAUGUAGUUACACUAGCUAGAAGUGUAGCCCAUUUGUCAUCCGAAUUACGAUCCCAUAAUUCCAUGGUCAGUGAGUUGGAGUCUUUACGCAAAGAAGUUCGAGAGAUGAAAGAGCAACAGUUCAUAUUGUCCCACCAGUCUGGUCCACAGGGUUACAACUCUCUAGAACACAACAAGGGGUGGGGGCCCUCCCUGACUAACCCCAAGAGGAUUAAUAAACUCACUCAGUUUUUUGGACAAGAGCCUCCACUUAUGGAAUGGUUUUUGAAGAAUUUAGGCUAUGAGAAAUUUGCUUGUAACUUCAAUGCUGAACACAUAGGAAUGCUAGAGCUACCUUAUAUGACAGAGGAAAGGCUCGAGAAGAUUGGAAUUCCCAUGGGACCAAGACUAAGAAUUCUACAGGAAGCCCAGAACUGUUUCCAGCAUGAAAACCUCAAUAUAUACAUUGUCUAAGACAUAUUGCUAUCAAUGCUGUUGUAAAGUAUUGAAUCUAAUGGGUUAUGGCUCAGAUAUGAUAUUUUUUUUAUAAAGAUAUACAGUAAACUUUUUAUUUUUACACAUUCAUGUAUGUUGGUUAUGCAAAAAGAAAAAGAACAGUAUUUUGCCCGAGUUUUAUAAACCAGUAUAUUAUGCUAAUAUGUAAUAAUAUUCAACAGAAUGAAAAUACACUUAUACAUGGACUGGUGAAAUAUAUUAUUUUUUAUAUUAAGAUAUGGACUAUAAACAGUUUUAAUUUUACCUAGCCUAAUAGAGUUUGUACUAACAGAUAUGGUGUAUAUAAUCAGGGAGGGGUUUGGCAAUAUAUAACUAUGAUAGUGCUAUUACAAGAACCUUUUGGAUGUGUGAAGGUUUGAUAUACAUUGUAUGCUAUUUAUGAUUGCAUGUGUUCAUUAUCCAUGGAAAGCAAUAGUCUGUUUUUGUCUGUAGUGUACCCAGCCAUCCAGUUGUUAUUUAUAUUAUGUGUAUUUGUUCUGUGAUAAAUAAAAUGAUCCUUCCUAAAUU
rnacentral:misc_RNA from 1 species